UACCAGUGAGGUAUGGUUCAAGUGUGACUGGACAAAAAAGCAAGCAAUUUCUAAGAUAAUGUCUUUUUUUAGGGAAGCUUGGGUGCCAACUAGACCAGCUGGAUGUUUUCUGUGUCUAAGUCAUAUCCAUACAAAUGUGCUGUAUAAUGUUAUCAAGAGGACGCGAAAUGGAAGUCUUCUAAGGAUCUUCUGCUGGCCACACUUGUCUCUGAAAUCCCAAACUCCAUUGACACGCCCCCAGGUUUGCAAACCCUGAGGUGACUAGUGUGCAAACAGAAGGGUGCCUGCAGGAUGUGUCGAGAGGACAAGCAAACCCAGCAUUGUUACCUGUGACGAUGGACCGGUCUUCACCUUUAAAGCCAGCUCUGGAUGGAGGAGGAAGCUGUGGAUGGCAGAUCCUCAGAUGGAGCUUUGACGUUCUCAGGCCUGGCAGCAGCAGACUUUGCAGCAGAGCCAAUACUGCUGUGUAGAGAAUGGACUAUCAGGAACAUGGGGAAUGGAGUGAGCAAUAAAGAACCCCCAUCAUGACCCAGAAAAGACAUGAUGAGGCUCAGACCAGGGCCAUGGUCAUAAGAAUGGAGAUAAGUAGAAACUGUCAAGAUAUCUUCUGAUAACAUAUAUUCAUCAAUCAUGUAUGGGGUGCCUACUGUUUGCCAAGUUGUAUUAUGAUUUCUAGUAGGUGGAAAUGGUUAGUGUCGUGACCAUAUUAUGCCAGCAAUAGAAGUGAAGAUUUGUAUGUUUUUGCACACUGUCAGAAUUUAUUGGAUAAUAAUAAAUCUACAAGCUUUGUCAACUUCACUGGCUUCAGCUCACCAGCAGUACUGGUUUCUCUUGGUAGAUACAGCCACUGACAAUCACAGUUCUUUUAUUCCAAUUGUAGUUACCAGUUUUAACUAACACAUAACACACACACAUAGAGUUGUGUGGCUUUUCCUAGGGAGGUGUGAACAAAUGUCUCUUCAUCCCAAAGAGGGUACAGACAGAGACUUAAGAAACUGUUCUGUGUAUCUUAGUUACUGUUCUAUUGCUUUGCAGAGACAGCAUGGCUAAC